UUGCUCAUGUAAUCAUUGUCUGCUUCUUGGGCUAGGAUUUGAUCCCUCAUAGGUAGAAUACAAAUUGCAAAUGUCUGCUGCAGAUUAGUGUGGUACGCCAGAUCUGUUCAUCAGCUACCCAUCACUGUGAGAAAACAUUUGAGAAAAUCGACUUAUAAAGACGGGGAAAACAUUCUCGGAUGUUUUCUGUAAAUGACAGUUCAGGAUAAAGACUGGAAGGAUAAAUCAGAAGACCUUGUGCUACAGUUUGGAUUCGGAGUGACCUCCACAGUCUGCUGUAAAAUAGUUCCGCAUUUGUAGAGAGGACCAGAAACCUUGAGGGGGCGGAGCCUGUGGAAGGUGGAGGCACAGCUCUUCCUGUUUCUUACCCUGCUUCCCAGGCACCACUAGGGGAGCCCUUGCUCCUCAGAAUGAUUCCCACAAAGACCAUUUCAUUCCCUGCUGCUGAAAACCAGCGAAGCCCAUUGAUCACAGACUGAAAUCUCUGAAUUGAUGGGCCAAAAUAAAUCCUUCCUCUUCAAGUGACAUUGGAACAUUUUCUACAGAAGUGGUCACAUAAACUUCACAUUCCUACUAACAAAACAAACAACAAAACAACCACCAUCGCCCAU
rnacentral:lncRNA from 1 species